GAUCUGGUGGUGAAAUGAAUCAUACCCACUUCACCUAUCAAUUCUGCCUAUUCGGAGUUGUGGGAGUCCCUGGUUCAAAUCCAGGUCAGGUUA